AAAAUGACAAAACUGUUAGCUUGCUCUUUUGCUUUAUAUUAAUUUACUUUAUGUGUCCAAGGUAUAAGCAGUUUUCAAGUAGAGUUUUCUUAAUUAUUUUAACAGUUCUUUGAAGUGGGUAAUAGUAUUCUCAUUUUCCAGUAGAAGAAACAGAUUUUAAGAGGGGUAUAAAAUCUUCAUCACCUGGCUAAUAACACUGGGCUCAUCUCUAGCAGUCUGAAGAACUGGCUUUGACUGCUCUGAGCUACCAUAGGACCAAAGCUAUCCUCUUUGUGCCGCAGGGACCUGCAUUGAUGUAGCUGCUUAGCAGCCUCUGCCAAGGUGAACACAGAACUCUUCUCUCUCCAGAGUUACUCUCAGUGAGAGGACCUACUCAGUGGCAAUAAAUAUCAAUGUUCUUGAAAACGCUAUUUGCCUGAGAGUUCUUCUGUCUGUCUUUGUUGCUUUGGCCAUAUUAUAUUAA
rnacentral:lncRNA from 13 species